rnacentral:sRNA from 1 species
AAAAAAAAACCAAAAAA